rnacentral:rRNA from 1 species
CUCCUGCAAACAUCUAAGUAUAGGAGGUCCAGCCUGCCCAGUGACUAUGGGUUCAACGGCCGCGGUAUUUUGACCGUGCAAAGGUAGCGCAAUCACUUGUCUUUUAAAUGAAGACCCGUAUGAAUGGCUAAACGAGGGCUUAACUGUCUCCCCUUUCCAGUCAGUGAAAUUGAUCUAUCCGUGCAGAAGCGGGUAUAAAUCUAC